rnacentral:rRNA from 1 species
UAUUGGACAAUGGGCGGAAGCCUGAUCCAGCAACGCCGCGUGAGGGAUGACGGCCUUCGGGUUGUAAACCUCUUUCGCCUGUGACGAAGCGCAAGUGACGGUAACAGGUAAAGAAGCACCGGCCAACUACGUGCCAGCAGCCGCGGUAAUACGUAGGGUGCGAGCGUUGUCCGGAAUUAUUGGGCGUAAAGGGCUCGUAGGCGGUUUGUCGCGUCGGGAGUGAAAACCAGGUGCUUAACACCUGGCUUGCUUUCGAUACGGGCAGACUAGAGGUAUUCAGGGGAGAACGGAAUUCCUGGUGUAGCGGUGAAAUGCGCAGAUAUCAGGAGGAACACCGGUGGCGAAGGCGGUUCUCUGGGAAUGACCUGACGCUGAGGAGCGAAAGUGUGGGGAGCGAACAGG